GACGAACGCUGGCGGCGUGCCUAAUACAUGCAAGUCGAACGAACCGCGACUGAGUGCUUGCACUUGGUCAAGGUGAGUGGCGAACGGGUGAGUAACACGUGGGUAACCUACCUCAUAGUGGGGGAUAACAGUCGGAAACGACUGCUAAUACCGCAUAGGACAUGGAAUCACAUGAUUCUGUGAGGAAAGGUGGCGCAAGCUAUCGCUAAGAGAUGGACCCGCGGUGCAUUAGCUAGUUGGUAGGGUAAGGGCCUACCAAGGCGAGGAUGCAUAGCCGACCUGAGAGGGUGAUCGGCCACAUUGGGACUGAGACACGGCCCAAACUACUACGGGAGGCAGCAGUAGGGAAUCUUCCGCAAUGGACGCAAGUCUGACGGAGCAACGCCGAGUGAGUGAAGAAGGUCUUCGGAUCGUAAAGCUCUGUUGUUAGAGAAGAACAGCGCAUAGAGUAACUGUUAUGCGUGUGACGGUAUCUAACCAGAAAGCAACGGCUAACUACGUG
rnacentral:rRNA from 1 species